rnacentral:rRNA from 1 species
GAUGAACGCUGGCGGCGUGCUUAACACAUGCAAGUCGAACGAUGAAGCCCAGCUUGCUGGGUGGAUUAGUGGCGAACGGGUGAGUAACACGUGAGUAACCUGCCCUUAACUCUGGGAUAAGCCUGGGAAACUGGGUCUAAUACCGGAUAGGAGCGCCUACCGCAUGGUGGGUGUUGGAAAGAUUUAUCGGUUUUGGAUGGACUCGCGGCCUAUCAGCUUGUUGGUGAGGUAAUGGCUCACCAAGGCGACGACGGGUAGCCGGCCUGAGAGGGUGACCGGCCACACUGGGACUGAGACACGGCCCAGACUCCUACGGGAGGCAGCAGUGGGGAAUAUUGCACAAUGGGCGAAAGCCUGAUGCAGCGACGCCGCGUGAGGGAUGACGGCCUUCGGGUUGUAAACCUCUUUCAGUAGGGAAGAAGCGAAAGUGACGGUACCUGCAGAAGAAGCACCGGCUAACUACGUGCCAGCAGCCGCGGUAAUACGUAGGGUGCGAGCGUUAUCCGGAAUUAUUGGGCGUAAAGAGCUCGUAGGCGGUUUGUCGCGUCUGUCGUGAAAGUCCGGGGCUUAACCCCGGAUCUGCGGUGGGUACGGGCAGACUAGAGUGCAGUAGGGGAGACUGGAAUUCCUGGUGUAGCGGUGGAAUGCGCAGAUAUCAGGAGGAACACCGAUGGCGAAGGCAGGUCUCUGGGCUGUAACUGACGCUGAGGAGCGAAAGCAUGGGGAGCGAACAGGAUUAGAUACCCUGGUAGUCCAUGCCGUAAACGUUGGGCACUAGGUGUGGGGACCAUUCCACGGUUUCCGCGCCGCAGCUAACGCAUUAAGUGCCCCGCCUGGGGAGUACGGCCGCAAGGCUAAAACUCAAAGGAAUUGACGGGGGCCCGCACAAGCGGCGGAGCAUGCGGAUUAAUUCGAUGCAACGCGAAGAACCUUACCAAGGCUUGACAUGUUCCCGAUCGCCGUAGAGAUACGGUUUCCCCUUUGGGGCGGGUUCACAGGUGGUGCAUGGUUGUCGUCAGCUCGUGUCGUGAGAUGUUGGGUUAAGUCCCGCAACGAGCGCAACCCUCGUUCCAUGUUGCCAGCACGUAAUGGUGGGGGCUCAUGGGAGACUGCCGGGGUCAACUCGGAGGAAGGUGAGGACGACGUCAAAUCAUCAUGCCCCUUAUGUCUUGGGCUUCACGCAUGCUACAAUGGCCGGUACAAUGGGUUGCGAUACUGUGAGGUGGAGCUAAUCCCAAAAAGCCGGUCUCAGUUCGGAUUGGGGUCUGCAACUCGACCCCAUGAAGUCGGAGUCGCUAGUAAUCGCAGAUCAGCAACGCUGCGGUGAAUACGUUCCCGGGCCU